CUCCCGGAACACCAUAGACAGCGGCCGCAGCCAGCUAGAGCGCCCCCGCGGCGCCGAUGACGUGUACGAGGCAGCGGAGGAUGCCGGGACAGUGGCGGAGCAGUGACGGGGGCGGUCGGGCGGACAGUAGCUGGCGGCCGAGGUGUGUGGCGGGUGACGCACGGAGGCCGAGGCAGCGUCCCCGCGAGCUGACAGGCUUCCCCCACGGCAGGCAGCCGGCCCGGGGCCGUGGGGACGCGAGGUUUUGAAACGUGGUUGCCUUCAGAGGAACAAAACCACAACCAGGGUUUCUGUUCUUCGUAGGAACCACCUGGGAAUAGCAAAAUUCGGUUCUUCUGAAGAAAGGGAGUCUGUCUGACUGGUGUGAGGCAACUGAGGAACAUUCUGUGGUAAUGAGUCCAACAACUCACUUCGACGACUA